CGCUGUCUCCCAGGACGGUCGCCUGACGCGGGAGGAGAUCGUGGCCAAGUACGACCUGUUCGUGGGCAGCCAGGCCACCGACUUCGGCGAGGCGCUGGUGCGGCACGACGAGUUCUAGCGGCGCCUCGGCCCCGAAGCGGAGGGGAAAGGGAGAGGAAAAACGAAAACAUCCACACACACACACAAAAAAAAAAACAAACCCGUAAUUUAUUUUUUAACCGUUUCUGGAGAAUCUGAAGGAGCGCCGUCGACGCCGACAUCGUGGGGGGGGCGGCGAUGCGGGAGGGGGGGGCUCCCUCUGCCCCCACCCCCACCCCAACCCAUCCCCCUCCAUCCCUGUCCCACCUAACCCUAACCCUAACCCUAACCCUAACCCUAACCCUAACCCUAACCCCAUCCCUGUCCCACCCUGAACCCGGAUCCGUUGUGGUCACAGGUGGAGAAUUUGGGGUGGAUUCUGCAGAAUUUGGGGUUGAAUCUGUGAUUUUGGGGUCCGUUUGUGAGAGUUUGGGUUCAGUUCCUGAGAAUUUGGGGUCAUUUCAUGAGAAUUUGGGUCUGGUUCUGCAGAAUUUGGGAUCAGUUCCUGAGAGUUUGGGGUCAAUUCCUGAGAUUUUAGGGCUGAUUUUGUGGAAUUUGGGGUCAGUUCUUGAGAUUUUGGGGCUGAUUCUGUGGAAUUUGGGGUCAGUUC
rnacentral:lncRNA from 1 species